AGUGUUUACAGCUUCCUGCUUAUGGCAACAAGGAAGCAGAACGCAGAGUGAUGAGAGAUUUAUGUGGAUAUGAUAGCACUGGACACUUCGAGGCUCCAUUGGCAAAACAUGCGGCAAAUAGGAAACCAAGGGUAGACCUUUGACAUUUAAGAAGUAUAUGCCCUAAGAUUUCUACAGAUCCUGAAAUUCAUCACUACGGCAGAAUCACGCAUCUUAUGUGUCUCCUUGGAAGAAAAUCACUAUGUGAAGCUAACACUUUAAUGAAUGAGGAGUUAUGUUCUGCUUCCUUGAAUAGCUACAUAAAUUAUUUGGAAUUAUUCUCCAAGGGAAACACGUCUGUUCUCUCCGAAAUUAUUCAGUCAUCUAUUUGUAUCAGUAUGGACUCAUGGAUAUAUAUUUUUGUUAUAUUCUGACACUACUUCAUUUUGUUACUCAAAUAGUUCCAGCUUUGGCUAUUGGGAACCCCUUCAGAAUUUCGUUUGUUUGGUUAGUUGGUAGUUGGCUCUGUAUUAUUGUUGUUGUUAUUUUGUUUUUCCCCAUUUCCUUAUUUUCUGGCAUUCUGCAGGCUCUUCUGGAAUUUUUCAUGCCUAAUUCCUGGAAUCAGCCAUUUCUCCAAAGAACUCUGUUUUCUUUCUGUGGAGAAUGGUAUUAGAAACCAACAUCUGGGAGUUAGGUGUGUUUAUUGCAACUGGGGUGUAGUUUUCUAAGAUAAGGCUGUUUUUUAAAACAGUAUAGUACUUCUCCAUAUUUGUUUCUUAAUUAUUCAAUUUGAGUUUUCAGUAAAAAUUCUAACAUUCUUACAUUUUUUUCAAACCAAUUUAAAAAGGCUAAUUUAGAAGAAGUUUGCAAAUAACACCCAAACAUUGUCAAGUAAUACAAACAUUGCCAUUAUUUUAUGAUCAGACUUCCCUUCUAUCCAAAAUAUCAGUUUUAUCAAGCUUGAUGGUUAAAUAUCUAAUCAAAUCAAGAAUAAAAACGUUUCACUCUAA